rnacentral:rRNA from 1 species
UACGUAGGGUGCAAGCGUUGUUCGGAAUUAUUGGGCGUAAAGAGCUCGUAGGCGGUUUGUCGCGUCGAAUGUGAAAACCCGGGGCUCAACCCCGGGCCUGCAUUCGAUACGGGCAGACUAGAGUUCGGUAGGGGAGACUGGAAUUCCUGGUGUAGCGGUGAAAUGCGCAGAUAUCAGGAGGAACACCGAUGGCGAAGGCAGGUCUCUGGGCCACUACUGACGCUGAGAAGCGAAAGCAUGGGGAGCGAACAGG